rnacentral:rRNA from 1 species
GAACUGAAGAGUUUGAUCCUGGCUCAGAUUGAACGCUGGCGGCAUGCCUUACACAUGCAAGUCGAACGGCA